rnacentral:rRNA from 1 species
UACAGAGGGGGCAAGCGUUAUUCGGAAUUAUUGGGCGUAAAGAGCUCGUAGGCGGUUUGUCGCGUCGGCCGUGAAAACUUGGGGCUUAACUCCAAGCUUGCGGUCGAUACGGGCAGACUUGAGUUCGGCAGGGGAGACCGGAAUUCCUGGUGUAGCGGUGAAAUGCGCAGAUAUCAGGAGGAACACCGGUGGCGAAGGCGGGUCUCUGGGCCGACACUGACGCUGAGGAGCGAAAGCGUGGGGAGCGAACAGG